UCAUAUCGAUAUUGUUGCUUCUGAAAUAUUGAGGUUUAACGUAUCUUCUCUUAAUAUACACAAUUAAUGGCUACUUCUGAGGUUGUGAUUCUGAAAAAAUAACAAAUCUAUUGUGGUCUUGCGGAAAAUUAAAGCGUAAUCUGUGUUGAGAAGUAAGUCUCACAUCGCCUACCUCAUUAUCUCGGAAAUGGUUUAACUCCUCUCAUUGCCAAUUGGUUUUGAGAUGGAACCUUAAUAAUCCGAAGAUGUUUGCGGCCAUUAUUCCGAUAUUGUUUAAAUGGGUUGUUUUGUCAAGGAUUAUUACCUUCAAUGUAGUAGUAAUUUGAUUUCACAUGUUCUAUCUCUCAUUGCCAAUUGGUUUUGAGAUGGAACCUUAAUAAUCCGAAGAUGUUUGCGGCCAUUAUGCCGAUAUUGUUUAAAUGAGUUGUUUUGUCUCAAGGAUUAUUACCUUCAAUGUAGUAGUAAUUUGAUUUUGCAUGUUCUAUUACAUUGCCAUAAUCAUUUUAUUCCUGCAUUGGAAUUUACCUUUUGCAGAUGG
rnacentral:lncRNA from 1 species